ensembl:misc_RNA 7SK 7SK RNA
AGAUGUGAGGAUGAUCUGGCUGUGACAUCUGUCACCCCAUUGUUCGCCAGGGUUGAUUUGGCUGAUCUGGCUGGCUAGGCAAGUGUCACCUUCCUCCCUCACCGCUCCGUGUGCAUCCCUCCUGAAGCUGCAUGCUCGGUCGAAGAGGACCACCUUCCCUGAAUAGAGACCAAGAGGUCUUCAUGGAGGGUAUAGAAGUAGCUGAGCUCCCCUGCUGGAACCUCCAAACAGCUCUCAAGAAUGAUCGCUCUGGGUGGCCAUUUACAACGGGUGGCCAUUUUU